rnacentral:lncRNA from 1 species
AUAAAAAUAUAAAAUCUGAAUAUGUCUAUAACUAUUAAACUGUUAAAUAUAUCUAAACGCCUUUCCUCUUCUUUCACUCACCCACUCCCCACCCCCCAAAAAACUUCAGAUACUUUUUAGUGAACUGUAAAAGCCUACAGAGAGAAAAAUCUGGUCACCAAUAAUGCUGUGAAUGCUGAUAACAGACUAAUCCUUAGCAACACUGAAAAAAACAUAAGGGAGCAAUGAUUCCCAAAUCAUUUUGAAUAAUUUUCUGUACCACUGGGGCAAUCCAUCAAGCAUGAGUCAAGCUGUCAAAUAAAGAACAGUUUUGGAUAUAUAAGGACUCAGGAACUUUAGUGAAACAACUUCUUUUAGGAAUUUACCUAGGGAUACACUCUAGCAAAAUGAGGGAGAAAACCAAGAAAGACAACAGAGAAAAGAUGGGCAGUAAGGACAAAACCCAGUUCAGGGGACUGGCACGUAUAGUUUAAAAUACAUAUACAGCAUAUAUAUAAACUGUUUAAUAUAAAUAUAUACAUGCAUACACAAAAGACUAAAUAUACAUACAACAAAAUGUUAAGUUUUCUGAGUGGUAAGAUAUUAGGUGAAUUAUUUAGUGCUUCUAUGUAUUUUUUAAAAUAUCAAAGAUGUAUUACUUUAUUUUUUAUGUUUUCAGAGACAGGAUCUCACUAUUUUGCCCAGGCUCGUCUCAAACUCCCGGCUCAAGCAAUUCUCUCUCCUUGGCCUCAGAAAGUACUGGGAUUACAGAAACUUUGCCGUUGCUGGUCCUAUUAGGUCGUUUUUGAAGGUGUUGGGUUCAGCAUGCAGAUGAAAUCAAGAGGCCUGAAGAUAAAGAAAUAGCUGAAAACUGGAGCCAUGAGAAUGAUUACAGAGUUUGGAAGCAGAACAUGGCAUGGAGGUUGGAAUUUUUAUUUAUUUAUUAUUUAUUUAUUUAUUUUUAAUUAAAAAAAUUUUUUUCUUUCUUUCUUUUUUUUUGACACACCCCCCCACCGGAGGUUGGAAUUUUAAAGUGUAUCUCAGAAGUCCAUGGUAGAACAGUCACAUUGGCCAGAGUGGCAGGGCUGGGAUAGGCCCAGGGUUGGUAAGUUUCCCUGAGAGAUUUAUAGAGGUAUACCAUUACCUUUUCUUCACACAUGUUCGUGUCGCUUUUGUCUCAGAAGUCACAGUGUCUCUACCAAUGGGCAUAUUUUUUCCCUGAUCUUGUCAUCUUUGCAGAAUUUGACACUUUUCACUAUUCUUUCCUCCCCGUUUCUUACUUUUUCCUUAUUAAAACGCUUUCUUCCUGGCCAGGCAUGGUGGCUUAUGCCUGGAAUUUCAACACUUUGGGAGGCUGAGGUAGGAGGAUCACUUGAGCCCAAGAGUUUGAAACCAGCGUGGGCAGCGUAGUGAGAGCUCAUCUCUAUAAAACAACAACAACAACAACAAUAACAACCCCCAAACCAAAAACUUUUUCUUUCCUUAAAUUUUGUGACUAUUCUCCCUCUUGGUUUUCCUUGUGGCUUGAUUUUUUUUUUUUGGCUUUUUGUUGUGUUUGUUUAAUGUUCUUCACAGCACUUUUCCUGCUACAAAUGUCCCUGGUGUGUCUGUAUCUCCUCUCAAUCUUAAGUCAAGUGCUAUAUCUUAUUUCUAGACAUUUUUCCUAAGUUUCAUUUCAGAAUGUUGUCUAUAAUGAAUCUCAGUAUUUUCUGCUCUUUCCUCCCAACGCUGCUCUUCCUUCAUAUUUUUGGACCUAAAAUUAUAGCACUUUACUUAAUCCUCCAAGACAUAAAUCUAAACUCCUCUUUCUGCUUCAUUAUCAAUAGUAGAUUAAGUAUACUGCUUUUACCACUUUCUAAACCAGUGGUUCUCAACAUGGGGUUUGCAGAUCACAAGGAGGAGCUCACCUAGGAACCUGUUAGAAAUUUAAAAUUUCAGGCACCACUUCAGGCUUACUGAACUCAAAACUCUGGAGAUGGGGCCAGCAAUCUGAUGUAACCUGCCCAUGGGCUGAUUCUGACGCACGCUGAAGUCUGAGAACUGUUCAAAACUAGUCGUUAAUCCGAGAGAUCUACGGUUAGGCUUAAGGAGGACAAAAAGCAUCAGUAAUGGUAGCUAAAACUGAGUGAAUGUCCAUAAAUAUUUUUCUGAGUGGACAGCUUUUAUUCCUUUUCUCAUCAAAUGAGUUCGAUGAAUCUCAAAUUUGAGGCUGUUCCUUGCUUUCCAUUACUACCACCUCGUCUUACCUUUGUUCAGGACCUCAUUAUAGCUUUUUCAGAUUAUUACAAUAACCUACCCAGUUUCUUUGCCUCUAGUCUGUACCCCUUCCAGUGUACUCCAGGUUGCAGUGACAGUCAUCACUUUUUUCCCCCUUCCCUCCCUCCUUUCAUUCUUUUUUGAGACAGGGUCUUACUCUGACACCGAGGCUGGAGUGCAGUGGCACAAUCACAACCCAUUUUUACUGUAGCCUCAACCCCCAGGCUCAAGCAGUCCUCUCACUUCAGCCCAGCAAUAACAGACUUUGAAUCUUCUGGAAAUAUAUGGGGAAAAUCUGAUCUCAUAAAGAUAAGGAGUUAGAAAAGGGAAAACUAUUUUACAGCCUUUCCAGAUAGUUCUAGAUAUUUUUUGAUACUGUGCUAAACUUACAUGUGGUAGUUUCUUAGCCUGCAUUACAACGUGGACUGAUCUGAAACCACAUCAGUUAAGCACUGAAAUCCAUCAGCCUUCCCAGUAGCUGGAACUGCAGGCAAGCAUCACCAGGCCUGGCUAAUUUUUUGUUUGGUAGAGACGGGUUCUCUCCAUGUUGCCCAGCCUGGUCUCAAACUCCUGGGCUCAAGUAAUCCUUCUGCCCUAGUCUUCCAAAGUCCUGGAAUUACAGGGAUAUGCCACCGCCCAUGGCCAGUCAUUUUAGAACAUGAAUCUGAUUGUGGUCACUCUUCAGCUCCAAGGUCUUCAGUGGCUCCCAGCUUAUGAUAAAGUAACCUCUACCAUGACAAAUAAUACGCUUAUUUUUGCAUGGGUAUUUAUGCAAAAAUAAAGGCUUAUUCAUUUGCACGUAUCUUUAGUCAUUCCCAGCCCAUCAACAUUAGACUCUGAAUCUUCUGGACCUCACUGGAGCUCUCUUUUAACUCCCUGCCUUUAUAUAUCCUACCUGCUCAGUCUGGAAUGCCCUAUACUGCUCCUCCUUCCCUCCUUGCCUAAUUCCUGUUUGUUCAAUGUUUAGCUCAAGCAAUACUUCUGGGAAGUCUUCCAUUAGAACUAAGUUUAAGAGGCCCUCCUGUGUGCUCUGAAUUCCCCCAUGCUUAUCCCUAUGGUAAUAACAGUUCUCAAACAUUUUGGUCUUAGGAUCCCUUUACACUUCUUUUUUUUGAGAUGGAGUCCCACUCUGUCACCAGGCUGGAAUGCAGUGGACCGAUCUCAGCUCACUGUAACCUCCAUCUCCUGGGUUCAAGCAAUUCUCCUGCCUCAGCCUCCUGAGUAGCUGGGAUUAAAGGCAAGCGCCACCAUGCUCAGCUAAUUUUUGUAUUUUUAGUAGAGACGGGGUUUCACCAUGUUGGCUAGGAUGGUCUUGAUCUCUUGACCUCGUGAUCCACCCGCCUCAGCCUCCCAAAGUGCUGGGAUUACAAGCGUGAGACACUGUGCCCGGCCCCUUUACACUGACUUUAAGAU